GAAUAUUGGACAAUGGGGGGAACCCUGAUCCAGCCAUGCCGCGUGUGGGAAGAAGGCCUUUUGGUUGUAAAGCACUUUAAGCGGGGAGGAGGUUACUCUAGCUAAUAACUAGGGAUCGUGUACGUUACUGGCAGAAUCCGCAACGGCUCACUCGGUGCCAGCCUCCGCGGUAAUACAGAGGGUGCAAGCGUUAAUCGGAUUUACUGGGCGUAAAGCGCGCGUAGGUGGCCAAUUAAGUCAAAUGUGAAAUCCCCGAGCUUAACUUAGGAAUUGCAUUCGAUACUGGUUGGCUAGAGUAUGGGAGAGGAUGGUAGAAUUCCAGGUGUAGCGGUGAAAUGCGUAGAGAUCUGGAGGAAUACCGAUGGCGAAGGCAGCCAUCUGGCCUAAUACUGACACUGAGGUGCGAAAGCAUGGGGAGCAAAC
rnacentral:rRNA from 1 species